rnacentral:rRNA from 1 species
UACGUAGGGGGCAAGCGUUGUCCGGAAUCAUUGGGCGUAAAGAGCGUGUAGGCGGCCAGAUAAGUCCGCUGUGAAAACUCGAGGCUCAACUUCGAGCUGUCGGUGGAAACUAUUUGGCUAGAGUCCGGAAGAGGAGAGUGGAAUUCCUGGUGUAGCGGUGAAAUGCGCAGAUAUCAGGAAGAACACCUGUGGCUAAGGCGGCUCUCUAGUACGGUACUGACGCUGAGACGCGAAAGCGUGGGGAGCGAACAGG